UACGUAGGGGGCAAGCGUUGUCCGGAUUUAUUGGGCGUAAAGAGCGUGUAGGCGGCCACACAGGUCAGCUGUGAAAACUCGAGGCUCAACCUCGAGACGUCGGUUGAAACCGUAUGGCUAGAGUCCGGAAGAGGAGAGUGGAAUUCCCGGUGUAGCGGUGAAAUGCGCAGAUAUCAGGAAGAACACCAAUGGCGAAGGCAGCUCUCUGGGACGGUACUGACGCUGAGACGCGAAAGCGUGGGGAGCGAACAGG
rnacentral:rRNA from 1 species